UGGGCAUUGCUGCGAUCAUCUACAGGGUAAUCUAGUUACCCUAGAGGUAUUUCUCUAUUCCUCAUAUUUUUAGAUUUAAUUUUAGAUUUAAUAUCAGAUAAUAGGAAUUAGAUCUAAUAGAUCUUAGAUCUAAAAUAUCGUAGGAUAAUUUUUUUUUAAAAUAUUCCACCCCAGAUCUCAUUAGAUCUGAAAGAUCCUACAAGGAAAAAGCCGAUUUUUCCUUCACUAUCGUCCUAGUAAUAGCAUAUCAUUUGGUCAUGAAUAAGUUUAAAGACUAUGUGAU
rnacentral:lncRNA from 1 species